GACGAACGCUGGCGGCGUGCCUAAUACAUGCAAGUCGAACGCAUUUUCCUUCACCGUAGCUUGCUCCACCGAGACAAAAUGGUGAGCGACCCGGUGAGUAACACGUCUUUAACCUGCCCAACCUCGGGGGAUAACACUCGAAAACAGGUGCUAAUACCGCAUAAUUCCAUUUACUGCAUGGUAGAUGGGUGAAAGGCGCUUUUCCCGCACUGUUUGAUGGUCCCGCGGUGGAUUUGGUAGGUGGAGGGGUAACGGCCUACCAAGGCUGCGAUGCAUAGCCGACCUGAGAUGGUGAGCGGCCACACUGGGACUGAGACACGGCCCAGACGCCUACGGGAAGGAGCAGUAGUGAAUCGUGGGCAAUGGACGCAAGUCUGAGCGAGCAAGGCCGCGUGCGUGAAGAGGAUUGUCGGAUCGGAGAACUCGGUUGUUAGAAAAGAACAAGGAUGAGAGUGGAAAGUUCAGCCCUUGACGGUAUCUAGUCAGAAAGCCACGGCUAACUACGUG
rnacentral:rRNA from 1 species